GACGAACGCUGGCGGCGUGCUUAACACAUGCAAGUCGAACGGAAAGGCCCUGCUUUUGUGGGGUGCUCGAGUGGCGAACGGGUGAGUAACACGUGAGUAACCUGCCCUUGACUUUGGGAUAACUUCAGGAAACUGGGGCUAAUACCGGAUAGGAGCUCCUGCUGCAUGGUGGGGGUUGGAAAGUUUCGGCGGUUGGGGACGGACUCGCGGCUUAUCAGCUUGUUGGUGGGGUAGUGGCUUACCAAGGCUUUGACGGGUAGCCGGCCUGAGAGGGUGACCGGCCACAUUGGGACUGAGAUACGGCCCAGACUCCUACGGGAGGCAGCAGUGGGGAAUAUUGCACAAUGGGCGGAAGCCUGAUGCAGCAACGCCGCGUGCGGGAUGACGGCCUUCGGGUUGUAAACCGCUUUCGCCUGUGACGAAGCGUGAGCGACGGUAAUGGGUAAAGAAGCACCGGCUAACUACGUG
rnacentral:rRNA from 1 species